rnacentral:rRNA from 1 species
GACAGAGGAUGCAAGCGUUAUCCGGAAUGAUUGGGCGUAAAGCGUCUGUAGGUGGCUUUUUAAGUCCGCCGUCAAAUCCCAGGGCUCAACCCUGGACAGGCGGUGGAAACUACCAAGCUGGAGUACGGUAGGGGCAGAGGGAAUUUCCGGUGGAGCGGUGAAAUGCGUAGAUAUUGGAAAGACCACCAAUGGCGAAGGCACUCUACUGGGCCAUUACUGACACUGAGAGACGAAAGCUAGGGGAGCAAAUGGG